AAAGAAACCAACAGGGAUUGCCCCAGUAACGGCGAGUGAAGCGGCAACAGCUCAAAUUGAAAUCUGGCGUCUUGGGCGUCCGAGUUGUAAUUUGCAGAGGGCGCCUCGGGUGGAGCACCGGUCCAAGUGCCUGGAACAGGAUACCGCAGAGGGUGAGAGUCCCGUAUCCGGCCGGUCGUGUCCCCCACUGUGAGGCCCCUUCGACGAGUCGAGUUGUUUGGGAAUGCAGCUCUAAAUGGGUGGUAAAUUCCAUCUAAAGCUAAAUACUGGCCAGAGACCGAUAGCGCACAAGUAGAGUGAUCGAAAGAUGAAAAGCACUUUGAAAAGAGAGUCAAACAGUACGUGAAAUUGUUGAAAGGGAAGCGUAUACGGCCAGACUUGGCCGCGGAUGCUCAGCCCGUCUUCUGGCGGGUGCACUCUUCCGCGGACAGGCCAGCAUCGGUUUGGGGGGCCGGACAACGGCGGCGGGAAUGUGGCACCCCUCGGGGUGUGUUAUAGCCCGGCGUGCAAUGCGGCCAGCCCGGACCGAGGAUCGCGCAUUGCUAGGAUGCUGGCGUAAUGGCCUUAUACGGCCCGUCUUGAAACACGGACCAAGGAGUCUAACAUCUAUGCGAGUGUUUGGGUGUCAAGCCCGGACGCGCAAUGAAAGUGAACGGAGGUGGGAGCUUCGGCGCACCAUCGACCGAUCCUGAAGUCAUCGGAAGGAUUUGAGUAAGAGCAUAGCUGUUGGGACCCGAAAGAUGGUGAACUAUGCGUGAAUAGGGUGAAGCCAGAGGAAACUCUGGUGGAGGCUCGCAGCGGUUCUGACGUGCAAAUCGAUCGUCAAAUUUGCGUAUAGGGCGAAAGACUAAU
rnacentral:rRNA from 1 species